CACGUAGGGCGCGAGCGUUGUCCGGAAUUAUUGGGCGUAAAGAGCUCGUAGGCGGCCUGUUGCGUCCGCUGUGAAAGCCCGGGGCUUAACCCCGGGUCGGCAGUGGAUACGGGCAGGCUAGAGGUAGGUAGGGGAGAAUGGAAUUCCCGGUGUAGCGGUGAAAUGCGCAGAUAUCGGGAGGAACACCGGUGGCGAAGGCGGGUCUCUGGGCCGAUACUGACACUGAGGAGCGAAAGCGUGGGGAGCGAACAGG
rnacentral:rRNA from 1 species